GACGAACGCUGGCGGCAUGCCUAAUACAUGCAAGUCGAGCGAACAGAUGAAGUGCUUGCACUUCUGACGUUAGCGGCGAACGGGUGAGUAACACGUAAGGAAUCUACCUAUAAGCGGGGGAUAACAUUCGGAAACGGGUGCUAAUACCGCAUAAUAUCUUCUUCCGCAUGGAAGAAGAUUGAAAGACGGCUCUGCUGUCACUUAUAGAUGACCUUGCGGUGCAUUAGUUAGGUGGUGGGGUAACGGCCUACCAAGACGAUGAUGCAUAGCCGACCUGAGAGGGUGAUCGGGCACAUUGUGACGGAGACACGGCCCAAACUCCUACGGGAGGCAGCAGUAGGGAAUCUUCCGCAAUGGGCGAAAGCCUGACGGAGCAAUGCCGCGUGAGUGAAGAAGGCCUUCGGGUCGUAAAACUCUGUUAUAAGAGAAUAACAAAUUGUAGAGUAACUGCUACAGUCUUGACGGUAUCUUAUCAGAAAGCCACGGCUAACUACGUGCCAGCCGCCGCAGUAA
rnacentral:rRNA from 1 species